rnacentral:rRNA from 1 species
CGGUAUAUUGACCGUGCGAAGGUAGCAUAAUAAUUAGUCUUUUAAUUGAAGGCUGGAAUGAAAGGUUGAACAAGAAGUUAGCUGUCUCUGAAUUAAAUUUUGAAUUUAACAUUUAAGUGAAAAGGCUUAAAUAUUUUAAGGGGACGAUAAGACCCUAUAAAUCUUUAUACUUGGGGGUGUAGGAUAAAAUAUUAAAGUAAUUUUUGUUCAACAUGUCUGGGUAUUUUGUUGGGGCGACAGGAGUAUAAGAUGUAACUGCUUUGGAAUAAUAGUUAGUUGAUAUUUAGUUAGGCGAUCCUUUAAUAUGGAUGUCAGUUUAAGUUACUUUAGGGAUAACAGCGUAAUUUUUUUUGAGAGUCCAUAUCGAAAAAAAAGUUUGCGACCUCGAUGUUGAAUUAAAGAUCCUUUGUGGUGCAGAAG